rnacentral:rRNA from 1 species
AUUGACCGCUGGCGGCAGGCCUAACACAUGCAAGUCGAGCGAGCGGCGGCCGGGUGGGUAAUGUCUGGGAAACUGCCUGAUGGAGGGGGAUAACUACUGGAAACGGUAGCUAAUACCGCAUACAAUAAGAUGUGCCCAGAUGGGAUUAGCUAGUGGGUGGGGUAACGGCUAACAUAGGCGACGAUCCCUAGCUGGUCUGAGAGGAUGACCAGCCACACUGGAACUGAGACACGGUCCAGACUCCUACGGGAGGCAGCAGUGGGGAAUAUUGCACAAUGGGCGAAAGCCUGAUGCAGCCAUGCCGCGUGUAUGAAGAAGGCCUUCGGGUUGUAAAGUACUUUCAGCGGGGAGGCGUUACCCGCAGAAGAAGCACCGGCUAACUCCGUGCCAGCAGCCGCGGUAAUUC